GAACGCACAUUGCGCCUUCUGGUAUUCCGGGAGGCAUGCCUGUUCGAGAGUCAUUGACACAAACCACAUCGUCGACCCUCACCUUUCUAAAGGGGGGUGGGGGGUCGUCGGCGGUCCUGGUGGAUGAGGGGGGAAUAGUUGGCAAAUAUAUAUAAUAAUCUCCUCCCCACCGAAAUUGAGAGGCAGUCUGUGAGUGAUAAAAACCCACAUAUGUUCGUUUAUGGCGUUGUAUAGACGGCUCUCAAAUUGUGGAGCCAACUCUGUUCGCUUGUAACAAACUUCCCUGGGUCUUACCUCGACUAGCCUUCCAAAGUUCCUAAAAUCUCAAGGGUUUGACCUCGGAUCAGGUAGGGAUACCCGCUGAACUUA
rnacentral:misc_RNA from 1 species